UAGAACGAACACGCUUGUAAAACGUUUUAAUUAAAUUGACUGCACUUUCCCUUCGUUUAACGACUUGAAGUUUUUAUGUGUUGCUUUGGAUCUGUUUUAUAAACACACUAUGGUUAACAUGGCACGUGUGAUAAUAUCUUUUUCCUGGUGAUACACCUGUUGGAGCAAGCAAGUGUUAAUGCUGCCGAACCAGCGUGUUCUAAAGUGGUAAAACUGGAGCAUGCGUUACACACAACCCAGGAAACACUUGCAUCAAUUCAGUCAUCACAGAGAAAAUCUGGAACGACUUACAUACGCUGGGGUCGAGCCGAAUGCAAUACCAAUGGCACAGAACUCGUGUAUAGAGGUU